GAUAUUGCUAUUGCAUUCAGGUAAAUUAUAUGGCUAUAAUUCAAUUUAAAUUGUAGAAUUCUUUAAUUUGUUAGUACCAGAAGUUUUUAGAAUAUACCAUUAUUCUGAUCAGUAUUCUUAGCAUGUGGUGGAUCCAUCGAUAUUUUCACAUUACCUAAGAGUGGAACUAAGGAACUUUAAAUGAUAAUCUCAAAUUUGACAUUAGAUUGUAAAGAUUUUUCUUUUCCUAAAUUGUAUUGCUUUGUUUAGCAAAAUUGGUGGAGAUUACUCUUAUUGUUGGAGGUUAGUGGAGAAAGUUGUUUAUUAUCUCGUGUGAAUGAGACAUAGGCAUAUAGCACACCUUGGUAAUUGGUAUGGCACAAUUAAGUGAAUGGACAAGCAAUUACUUACCUAGCAGACAAGUAGAAGGUAUCAUGUGAAGAUAAGUUGGACUUGUGUAUAAGUUGAGAUAUAUUCUAUAAUAUGAGAGAGUACUGAAAUUAAAUGGCUCUAGCACAUGUUCUGGAAUUGCAUUCUUACAUGUUAUCCAUUGACAUAUGUUUGUUAGAGGGCAAUUCAUUCAUUAAUAAUGUUCUUUAUGGUAACAAGUAUCCGUUUUUUGCAGUGGUGCUGAAGAUG
rnacentral:misc_RNA from 1 species